AACCACCUCAGCCUCGCUUCUCGCAUCUUCUAAUCCACCGGGGCCACCCCCACCUUCUCUCAAAUAACUUCGUUCUUAAUCUUAUCUAGCCUGGUGAUCCCGCACAUCCACCUGAGCAUCCUCAUCUCUGCAACCUUCAUUCUCUGAACAUGACAGUUCUUCACUGUCCAGCACUCCGCCCCAUACAACAUUGCAGGUCUAACCACAGCUCU
rnacentral:lncRNA from 1 species